GCAAAACUGAAAUUGUGUGCAACGCUUUCUACUUUCUGAUUGUUACAAAAAUUCUUCAAUUUGUAAUACUUGGGUUUUAGGUUGUCUUCCUCUGUGCUGAAGAGGGGAAUUUUACAUUUGCCUUGAUUUAUUCUGCAAUUUCUCUAGCAAUUGUAAUACUCUUAAGGGUGAGCCUCUCAAAAUGGCCAAAAUUACUAAAUUAAGGUCUAAUUUAUAUGUUGGUUCAGUUCAUAGUAAUGGAUUAAAUAUAAUAUAGACUCUUAGAUCCUGAAACUUCAGCUGGAUCGGUGUGCGCAGCCCCUUGUUCUGGUAGGUACAAGAGCCCACCUCUGUGGAUCUAAUUGUAGGAGUAAAGUCUUCUUUUACCAAAUUAAUUAAAAAAACCAAAACUGUUUGGCAUAAGGUGUGUAAUUGGUUCUGUUAUCUGAUGCUGAGGUGAUUUUUGAAACAGUAAAUGUUUUCCAAUUUUGAUUUGUUCCCUGCCUGCUUCUGAACACUAUAGAAACUGCAGUAUUGAUGUAUCACAUUCUAUAUGAUGCUUGUUUCAGCAGUGUAACAUUAAUGCUGCAACAGCAAAUUAAAAAUAUUUAUUUUAUUAAAAGCUAAUGUAAUGCUAAUAAAAAGUGUUAUAUUGACA